rnacentral:tRNA from 1 species
CCGCCCAUAGCUCAACGGCAGAGCUCUCCCCCGAUAAGGGAGCGAUGCAGGUUCAAUUCCUGAGGGGCGGA